UACAGAGGUGGCAAGCGUUGUUCGGAAUUACUGGGCGUAAAGGGCGCGUAGGCGGUCUUGUAAGUCUUGUGUGAAAUCCCUCGGCUUAACUGAGGAACUGCACGAGAUACUGCGAGACUUGAGAUCGGGAGAGGGAAGCGGAAUUCCGGGUGUAGCGGUGAAAUGCGUAGAUAUCCGGAGGAACACCGGUGGCGAAGGCGGCUUCCUGGACCGACACUGACGCUGAGGCGCGAAAGCUAGGGGAGCAAACGGG
rnacentral:rRNA from 1 species